rnacentral:rRNA from 1 species
UACGGGGGGGGCAAGCGUUGUUCGGAAUUACUGGGCGUAAAGGGCGCGUAGGCGGUCUGGUAAGUCCCGUGUGAAAUCCCUCGGCUCAACUGAGGAAUGGCACGGGAAACUGCUUGGCUUGAGUUCGGGAGAGGGAAGCGGAAUUCCGGGUGUAGCGGUGAAAUGCGUAGAUAUCCGGAGGAACACCGGUGGCGAAGGCGGCUUCCUGGACCGACACUGACGCUGAGGCGCGAAAGCUAGGGGAGCAAACGGG